GCUUUGGUGGGGUAGUGGUAACCUGGGUCGUUGCCAUGGAUUGAGAGAUUCCUCCAGUGAAUCUCGACCCACCGGGGGUUCGAUUCCCUCCCAAAGCA